rnacentral:lncRNA from 1 species
UACAUUAGAAAAGGUUCAAAAUAUUAAAAAUAACAAAUUCAUAACUGUUAAAUUUACUCAAAAUCCUUAUUCAUGCCUGUAGUUCUUUCCAUCUGGGUGCAUUCCCAUAACACAAAAUGACUUUUAGGAUUUACUAUGAGAAUUUUUAUUUACUCACUCUGAACUCACAGUUUAAAACCUAACAGAUCUCACCUAUCACUGAUGCUUUUGACUGCCUUUCACUGUCUUUCUAUCCUUUCACCCUGUCCAUCCGCGAUCUGUUGCUUUCUCAGAUAAUGGCCGUAGUAUUAAAGUGUCGCGCUCUUGGAUGGCUGGGGGUAUGGCUAGAGCUUCACUUCUUUCAUUUAAACAUUGGCAUGUUUCUGUCGUCUGUGCGUCUGCUGUUUUUGUAUCUUGUGUUUGCAGUUGACUUACAUGUUGUUGUUGUUGUUGUUGACCACUGUUAAUCUGGAAAAUCUCAGUGUUG